ACUCUUGAUAUAUGAGAUGACAGAGCAGGACCAGGCAGAGCCAGCUCUGGAUGUGCUGCCUGGGAGGGCUUUCCAAAGGGCACAGCCUACUGGGAGCAUUUCUGGGCUCUGUGUGGGGAGCUGCAGACAGGACCAUGCACAAUGUGCAGCCUGAGCUGGGGCUGGGGGGAGAAAUGCUCUGAGGAGAAUGGUGUCAAACUGUGGGGUGUGAAGCUGGUCACAGACCUACUGAGCAACACUGGCCAUGUUCUCCUGGAGCUGCUGCCUAAGGAGGGACAGGACAAACCCUGCUGCUCGCCCCAGUUCCCAUCCCAUGGACCCUGGGCCUGUUCCUGCCAUCUUCUCCCAGCAGCCUCAGCCACACAGGGCCUUGGGGCUGCCUCUGCUUGGUGCUUUUCACCCAUCACCUCCUCCAGGUGCCCCACCAGUCUGUCCUCACUGAAAGAGCUGCUGUGGAUGGGCUCUUCUGUGUGUGCAGGGUCCUCUGAAGCUCAGCAGUGCUGCUCCUGCAAGUACAGCAGGGUUGGGAUUCCACCAAGCAGAGACUGCUGUAAGCAGGGUCUGAAGAGCAGCACAAGGAGGUGGAGGAGAAAGAAGAGGCAGCUGUGUUCAAGCUCUUCCCCUGACCUGAAUUCCUGGUUGAAAAAGAAACCAGUUUCUUAGCUGAAAAAAACUUCCAGGCUGAGGAACACUCCAGGGGUAGCAAAGGAGGGACAGCAUGGACUGCUCAUCACUCCUGGCUGCAUCUGCAUCUCUGGUGCCAGAGGGGGGACCCUGCACACCUCCUGCCUUCAGCUGGGACAACA